rnacentral:lncRNA from 1 species
UCCACAUGAAAGACAUGGGGAUCUUGGUUGGGUUUGGUCAUGUUGCUCAUAAUCAGUCGUUAGUCGUUAGGGUUUACGAUCUACAACCGGAGCUCUGCUAAAAAUCUCGAAGCAUCCUUACCCACGAAUUAUCAGGUAACAACAAAAAUUAUCAGCAUAUAUCUCGUCUAUUUUAUCUUUCUAUCACCUGCGCGAAUCGAUUCUGCUUCUACCAUAAUUAUAAUCCGUUUACUUAGAAUCACAAAUAAGAUAGAUAUCUGCUAACAGUUGAAUUGUUCAUGUUCAAUCAUUGUUUGGUUACAUUAUCGAAAUGAGCAUUUUAGUUAACUUUCAGAGUAUCAUUAAAAUCAAAACAUUUGUAUGAAACUUUGUUCAAAUUCUUCAGAAUUCGACCAAUUGAAGAUACGACGACUUGAUAUGUGAGUCCCGUCUAACUGAUUUGUGGACAAACGAAAAUGAAAUCCACAAUUGGGAGAAUGAACGAAAUGGUAUAAAUAAUGGAACCCUAGAUUUUUCAGAUUUUGCUUUAUGGAUUACAAAAUUGCAAUUUCAGAUGAUUAGGUUAUUAUCCUCGAUCUAUAUUGUAACUAAUAUACAAAAUUUUCAUUUUGACAUUGCUAAUUUUACAUUUUUGUCUAAAAUCUGUAAUCUGUUGAUAACUUAAAGAUAGAAUUAGUUUAUUGCAAAUGAUUAAUUUUCCAUUUAUUGCUCCCUUACGAAUAUGACCAAGCAAAAGUUAAAAUUUCGGUAGAUCCUUAUUUCUAUAAUUAUACGCUUGUGGAGCAUACAGAAGAAAUGUAAGCAAAUUUUACUGGGGAUUUUUAUGCAGAGAUCUUGAACUAUACUUUUAUUAACUACCACUUUACCCUUAAGGAAACCUCAUUAGAAAAACAAGUAUUACUCAAUUCUCAUCAAGGUUUUGAAUCUGUUUCCCUUAAGGCUAAAGAUUCCGUUUAUGCAGCCAAAUAAAACUUAUGGAGAACACGGAACCUCCCGUUUCAUCAACCACUACACGCACAUGGCACGACUUUCUAGAACGCAUGAGACAACCUUCCGCAACAGAAUUCGUGAAAACCAUAAAAAACUUCAUAACCACAUUCUCAAAAACAAUUCCAAAUCCCGAAAAAGACAGUGAAUCCAUACAAGAAUUUUUCGCCACCAUGGACGCCGCUUUCCGGGCCCACCCUCUAUGGGCGGGUCGCACAGAAGACGAAUUGGAAAACACAAGUGAAGGCCUCGAAAAAUACAUAAUGACAAAACUAUUCCCUCGCGUAUUCGCUUCACACCCAGAAGAUAUCAAAAUAGACAAGGAUCUUUUCAACAAAUCGCUUUUAAUCCAACAAUUCAUCGAACCCCACCACUUAGACAUUCAACAAAAGUAUCAAAACGAAACUUCAUGGUUAAUCGCAAAGAAAGAGCUUCAAAAAAUUAAUAGUUACAAAGCACCACGUGAUAAACUUUCGUGUAUUCUUAGUUGUUGUAAGGUCAUUAGUACAUCGCUAUUUAACGCAUCCGAAAAUCCACCUGGCGCUGAUGAUUUUCUUCCUGUUUUAAUUUACGUUACAAUUAAAGCAAAUGUGGCACAAUUGCACUCAAAUUUGGUUUAUAUUCAACGGUUUAGGAAUCGGUUAAGGUUAGGUGGAGAAACGGAGUAUCUUUUCACGAAUAUGUUAUCUGUAGAAUCGUUUAUUUUGAACAUAGAUGCUAAGGCGUUGUCUAUGGAUGAAAGUGAGUUUGAGAAUAAUAUGGAAUCUGCGAGAGUAAUUGUUUCGGGGGAGUAUAAUGGUGAGAAUGUGGAAACUCGAAGGGUUGAAAGUGAAAAUGAUAUGGAGGCGAAGUUGAAAGAGGUUCCUUCGGUUUCGGAUUUGGAAAAUAAAGGUGGGACGAUGAUUGUUAUGGAGGAAAAAGUGAGUGAAAAGUUUUGGAAUUUUCCGUUUUUGUAUUCGAAGGUUGAUGAUUUGAGUGUUGGUGAUGUGGAUGAGUUGUUGAAUGGUUACAAGCAGCUUGUGUUUAAGUAUGUUUGUCUUGCUAAAGGAUUGGGUGUUCCUGUUCGGCCGCCUCUGGAGACCGGAGAUGGUGGUGGGGAGGCAGUGGGUGGUGUUCCGGUGGCGGCAACGGAAAGUGAACAGGUGGAGGAUGGUAGAGUAGAAGGAGGUGGGCAUGAUGGUGUUAGGGAUUCUACAACUGAAACUCUAGUGGCUGGAGAAGUUGUUUCUCAGUUAGAUGUAAAUGUUGAAAAAUAAAUUAUGUAUUUUUUUGUUUUUGUGGAUUAGAUUUAGAUCUUUUGUUUAUUUGUUUAUUUGAUCGAUGAAUCUUUUGGUUAUAUUCAACUUGUUAAAAUGAGAAACUUGUGAAAAAUAGUAAUCUAGUUUACUUUUAUAUCAAUAUGGGCAAUAUAUUUUAUUUUUUACCCAUAAUAGCCAUAUAGAGUCCUAAUACUAAUGUAGUUGCAUUUCUUUAUCAAUAAUAGCAUUAUGAAAGUAUGUUACAAAUAAAGUGCAUUGGCCAUAUUGGUAGCAAAAUUAAGGUAUAUUGCUAUUAUUGGUUAAGAAUAAAGUAACAUUGAUAUUAUCCGUUAAAAGUGUAAGUAUGCUGCUAAUAUGGGUAAAAAACAAAAUAUAUUUUCCAUAUUGGUACAAGAGUAAAUACGUUGCAAUUUGUCUGAUAAAAUAAAUCAAACAUUAAAGGUAACAAGAGAUAUGAUUCAACUAACACAAAUAAACUUUUAUUCCGUCAAACUAUGCAAUAUGAUGAAAUUGUUGGCACGUAAUCAAAGAUGAAAAUGUCAAAUUUAAAAAUACAACAAAAUUCAUGAUGCAUAACUGAAUUGAACGGAUGAUGAAAUUGUUGGCACGUAAUCAAAGCAUGUGCCACCAUCUUUUCAUUUUUAUAUGGAUUGAAAACAUAUUCAUCCUUUCAGUGAAUUCUUAGGAGCAGAAAGUUCCAGGAAAAUGUGUAUAUAAAGUUGUUAGUCUAACAUGUUGAUAAUUUUUUAUUUAGAUAUUUUUUAGGAAUGACAAUUAAUCACCUUUUUGACUAAUUGCAACAAAGAAACAUUUACUUAUAUCUUUNNNNNNNNNNNNNNNNNNNNNNNNNNNNNNNNNUAUAUAUAUAUAUAAACUAUCUUAUAUUUAAGGUCAUCCAAAUAAAUAUGGUUUAAGAUGGUUUCCAAUCUUUCUAAACAUUUUAACUAAUUUAUUAAACGUUACAUCUUAAAAAAAUGGAAAAACAUUAUAAAUGGUCCUUGUGGUUUUCCGGAUCUGACGUUUAGUCCUCAAUGUUUAAAAUUGUCAUAGAUGAUCCAUGUACUUUUAAAACUUUGACGAUUGUUCCUUAUUGUUAACUCCGUCAUAUUUUGUCUGUUAACCGAAUGACAUUUUUGUCAUUUCACUAUCAUUUAUGAAGUUUUUCAUUAUUUUAGAAAAAUACAAAAGAAAAAAUAAUUAUUUAAUAUAGAAAGCUCUCUCUCUCUCUCUCUCUCUCUCUCGUUUUUCGUCAAUUCGAUUCUAUAGUUCAUAAAACUCUCAUUUUUGUCAACCAUAGCAACAGUGUAGAAUUGAAGAUUCGUAUUUCGAAUAAUUCAAGGUAAGAGCAAUGUGUUUGUGAGUAUAAUCAUGGAGAAUCGCAAAUUUCGCUACUAAAUUUUGCCGUUUAUGCGUGUAUUACAUUCAAGAAAAAGGUUAAUGUGGAUGAGCAAACAAUUGCUUGUUCAAUUGUGACCAUAAUCAUGAAGUGUAAUUUGCUUCUACUAUUCUUCUUGUUCUUUCGAAGUAUAUUUCAACAGCAACACCAAUCUCUCCCGUUGAAUUCAACUUUCAACCGCAGAACAAACUGCUCUGCUCCAACUCUCAGACCAUCUUUAGGUUUAAGAGCCAUAUAAUGGCCUAUAAAAUCCGACCCAUGCUUAGCUUGGGUUGGUCUUCUAUGUCAAGGUGGUCAUGUUGUUGGGAUCAAUAUUUGAGGGUUUAUAAGAACCCCACUUUGGAGUCGAAACACUAAAUCUUAAGUUGAUGCUCUUGCCAAUUUCACCAAAUUGAUUUCAUUUUUUGCAUGAAUCAUAAUAUCAAUGCUCUUAUUGGUAGCAAAAUGUAAGUACGUCGUUAUUAUUGAUAAAAAAAAAUCAUGUUGCUAUUCCAAGCAAUUUGUCACUUAAAAUAUAUCAUACAUCAAAUGUAACAAAUCUCGCACGAAAAAAAUUCCAAGUAACCAAAGAUAUGAAACAACUAACACAAAUAAAUUUUCAUUCCAUAAAACUAUGCAAAAAGAUGGACUUAUUUGCUCUUAAUAAUCAAAGAUAAAAAAAGAUGAAAUAUAAAACUAUAAGAUAGUUGAUGUAAAAAGAAACAAAAUUAUAAUGCAAUUCUAAUGCUUACCAUAAACUUUUUCAGCCAAUGGAGUUCUUGAGAGUUGACCUUUGACCUCGGGACCCACAUCCCUGUCUAGAUCAAUGACCUCUAAGCAUUUGGUUAAACCAUUGACUUGAUCUUCAAAACUAAACACAUUCUCUUUCUGAUCACUCUCAUCUUGCUUUUGUUUCAUGUCUAUCAUAGCUUCAUCUUUCUGCUUCUUUUCCUCUAUGUGCAUUCUUUUAUUUGAUAUUUCCUUUUGUAUUUGCACAUCCACUUUCAACUUGCUAAAACUCACACCACUUUUUCUUCCAUCAUUGAAAGCUUUUCUAACUUUUGAACAAUUCUCAGGGGUAACAGAAGGAGAAAGAUUGGAUAACUGUAAUUUGUUUUUGUUUAGCCUGUUUCUGUUAUGUGAUUGUAAAGGACUUUGUUUCUCCUGCAUACUUCCUUUAAAGGGUUGCCCCUGUAAUAGGUAAAAAGACGUUAAUACCCUCCAUGAAAAAUAUCCCUCAAAAGCUAAAAAAGAAACAAGAAGCUAGAAUGAAAAGAAUAAUGAUAUACCUCAUCAAAGAAUCCAAUCUUUGGUGAUGGCAUUCGAAGACCCGAAGAUUUGAUUUUUCUUUUGGGCCCACUAGAAAGGAGAGUUUCCAUUGAUGAUGUUGUUGCAUAUUCAGGUGUAUUAGAAGAAGAUGAAGAUAACCAUCCUUCAAUGGAGCUACAAGGGGAUGUGGAUGAAGUUGGUUUUGUGUUUUUGUGAUUGAUUUCCUUUCUACUGGAUUUAGAAGAUGAAGAAGCACUAGAAGAUGAUUCAUAUGAGGAA